GGUAGCACACUUGCUAUCUCAAGAACCCUAAUGUCAGCUGCCAUGUGGGGAUCAAUGACUGACUGACUGACUGGUUGGGGGCAGAAGAUGCAGUAACUGAGUAGGAAUCAGGAAAAACAGAAGGGCCCAGAAACACCUUCACAGCCCCAGAUCACUAGGAGUCAGUGUGUAAUAAUGCUCUAAAACUCAUCUCUGGACUUGAUACCCUCUUGCACAGGAUAUCUGCAGACCUCUACACUGGCCCCCUGGGUAACAGCAGACAAAGCUGGAGAAACAGCAGGGCCCUGAUGACCUUCAGCCCCAUAUGGAGCAGAAUUCUGGAAGAACUGAUUAAACACAGAAGAAAUGAAUUCUCAAGGUGAAGCCUUCUCCAUGGAAACAGUAUGUUGCUUUGUGUUUCAAUCAUUUUGUGACAGAGGGCAAUUUCCUGCAACAUCCCAGAUCAACCGUACUGAGUUAAGUUAAAUCUUGUUAAGUUUAAGGAUCCAUUGUAUUAAAAAUAGAAUUGUCUGUGUAGUUGUAGGACUGUAUGCAACUUUUCUAGGAUACUGACUAAUGUAUAUCUUGGGGAAAUGUUAGGAACUUCAAAGAACUGUUUAGGACAGUAUGUGUGAAGUGGGCUUCCUAGGAGGUACUUGGAAGGGCAUUUGAAGCUAUGCCCUGGGGAGGAAAACCCAUUGUCUACUGAUUGAUCUGGAGUUUCCAGAAGCAGGUAAAGAGCCCUGAACUAUGAGAAUGGACUAAACUUUUCAUAAGUGUGCUAGUUCUGU